CCCCUUUUGUUUGGUACUGGGGAUGCUCAACCACUGAGCCACAUCCCCAGCUCUUUUUUGUAUUUUAUUUAGAGCCAGGGCCUCACUGAGUUACUUAGCGCCUCAUUAAGUUGCUGAGGCUGGCUUUGAACUCGCAAUCCUCCUGCCUUGGCCUCUUGAGCUGCUGGGAUCACAGGUGUGCUAUCCCUCCUAAGUAAAACUUGCUUCCUACUCUUGCCUCAUUGUUUCUCGGUGUUUAAUCUUCAACAGCAGGGGAGCGAAGACCCAUUCCUGAUCUCCGGGACCAGUAUCUUCCACAGCCUCCAGGAUGGCCCCAGUGAUGCUUGCCUCUUGGUGUCCUGUCUAGAACUGUCCCCUCCCACACCAAAUUUUAGGCAGCCUGUGGGGCUAACAGGAUGCUGGGGACAGGAUAAUAGGACUUCCAAAUUUAGGUCACAGAGUACCCUGUAGCUUCUACCUUGGUGUUCUGAAAAGUCACCUGCCGCGUGGAGAGGCCCAGCUGGAAAGGGACCAAGGCCCACCUGCCUGGUAGCCGUGGGAGUGCACCAUCUUAGAAGCAGGUGGCCAGCCCCAGUGCUGCCUGUAUAACUGCAGCCCUGGCUGAUGGCUUAAGUGAAACCUGAGAGUCCGCCAGCCAGAACCAGCCAGUCAGGCCAGCCCCAGAUUCCUGGCCCACAGAAGCUGUGGAACACAAACGUUUCUUGCUUUAAGCCAUGAGGUUGUGGCAUUGUUUAUUGUACAGUAAGGACAGCUGUAACACAAGAAGAUGCUGCUAUGACCAUGCCAUUGACGGAUGAGGAAACCCAGGCUCACUGAAGGGCCCUGGGGUGCCCCAUGGUGGAGACUCCUUAGGAAUUCGCCCCUUCUUGCCUCUGUCCCAUCUCCUGCCGGUGUUCCCUCCUUCUGGGCCUCACUACUAUUCUCAGUUCCUGAACUUCCCCAUCAAAGCCCUGAGCACACAGCAGGCACUCAAUAAAUACUCAGCAGGAUGCUCUACACCUGUGGAGUAACUUCCUGGGUGUGGCCACGGUUCAGGCUGGGAAAUGGGGUCACCCCUGCUGAAGCAACACCCUCUGAGAGCUGGCCUGACACCCGGCUUUCUGAAGGAUCUGGAAACACAUCUUGUCUACAUGGGAAGAUGAUGGACGAGCUGCUAUUCAUGACUCCUAAGUAACAUGCCCCUGGAUUUUAAUGUUGGCACCCAACUCAAAAACUAGUUUUUAAAAAUAGAGUUUUGCAAAAUACCUCUGAGGACCUGUUCAGACCCCCAGUUUGCUCCCCCAGCUCCAGAACAAAGAAGCAGGACACCCAGAAUUAUUAUACAAUUCUGUAUUUAGCGACUUGUUUACAGAAUGUGUUCCUUUUUUUUAAAAUUUUAAACAAAGUUCAUCAAUCUCUCAUAGAAACAGUUUUGUGGGGUUU